AUCUAGGUGACGAGUACCAAAUAGAUCGAAACGCGCGUCCUAGAU
rnacentral:hammerhead_ribozyme from 1 species